rnacentral:rRNA from 1 species
ACUCCUACGGGAGGCAGCAGUGGGGAAUAUUGGACAAUGGGGGCAACCCUGAUCCAGCAAUGCCGCGUGAGUGAUGAAGGCCUUCGGGUUGUAAAGCUCUUUUGGCGGGGACGAUGAUGACGGUACCCGCAGAAUAAGCCCCGGCUAACUUCGUGCCAGCAGCCGCGGUAAUACGUAGGGUGCGAGCGUUAAUCGGAAUUACUGGGCGUAAAGCGUGCGCAGGCGGUUCGCUAAGACCGAUGUGAAAUCCCCGGGCUUAACCUGGGAACUGCAUUGGUGACUGGCGGGCUAGAGUAUGGCAGAGGGGGGUAGAAUUCCACGUGUAGCAGUGAAAUGCGUAGAGAUGUGGAGGAAUACCGAUGGCGAAGGCAGCCCCCUGGGCCAAUACUGACGCUCAUGCACGAAAGCGUGGGGAGCAAACAGGAUUAGAUACCCUGGUAGUCCACGCCCUAAACGAUGUCAACUAGUUGUCGGGCCUUCAUUGGCUUGGUAACGUAGCUAACGCGUGAAGUUGACCGCCUGGGGAGUACGGUCGCAAGAUUAAAACUUAAAGGAAUUGACG